AAUAUCCAGAAAAUAAUUACACUUGUAAAUUGAUUAAAAUCAUUUCCAGUAACUUUAUGUACGUAUUUAUUAUCCAAUCAACCAACGCACGCUCUCUUUGAGGGGACGUAUCUACAUGUACUAAAGAAAUUUAUUUAAUGCAAUCUGACCGAUUCUGAGAUGGCCACAGCGCGUGGAUCUCUUGGCCAAGUAGUGACACUCAUUAGUGUGGAGGAUGUAUUUGAAAAACUUGGAGGCUUUUCCUGGUUCCAAAUGUGGGCCAUGGUAGUGAUAAUAUCUCCAGAAAUAGUGGCAGCAAUGAUUGCAUUGUCCCCCGUUCUGACGGGGUCGAGUGAUGUCCUCUUCGUUUGCGA